UAGCAGUUUUAUGAAAAAAAAGUCUAACUCAAAGUGAGCGUUAAAAAGCUGUGUCAUCAUCUGUCUCUGUGCGUGAGACAAACGAGAUGAGAAUCGUCUCAGUCAGAGGAAAUCCAGCAUGUAAUCCUGCUCAGCUCAUCACUUUGAGACCUGAGUUACGUAACGCUCAGCAAACAGGUAACGACUGUCACUGAUACUCACAUAUCCACACAAUUUCAUAAUAAAGUACAGUACACUCACCAACCACCUGAUGACUGUUGCACAAAACUUGAAAAUACUUUCUUGAUUUCUUAGUGUAGUAUGAUUUUAUACAUCUUAGGUGACUAAAGGCAUAUAGGUGAUGUCAGUCAGUUCAUCUUAAGCCAGAGUUGAUGCACUGAAGACCAACACUAAUUUCAGGAUUUGCCAGCUGUUUGGACUCUCAUUCUGACGGCACCCAUUCAGAUCCAUUGUUGAGCAAUGAUAAAUUCCUCCAAAUCUGUUCUCAUUAGGAAACAAACUCAUCUGCAUUUUGGAUGGCCUGAAGCUUCCUGGACUGCUGCUGUCU
ensembl:lncRNA